ACGCGGGCGGCAGGCUUAACACCCUGCAAGUCGAGCGGAGAAUUUACUUUGCUACCGGACCCAGCGGCGGACGGGUGAGUAAUGCUUAGGAAUCUGCCUAUUAGUGGGGGACAACAUCUCGAAAGAGAUGCUAAUACCGCAUACGUCGUACGGGAGAAAGCAGGUGAUCUUCGGACCUUGCGCUAAUAGAUGAGCCUAAGUCGGAUUAGCUAGUUGGUGGGGUAAAGGCCUACCAAGGCGACGAUCUGUAGCGGGUCUGAGAGGAUGAUCCGCCACACUGGGACUGAGACACGGCCCAGACUCUUACGGGAGGCAGCAGUGGGGAAUAUUGGACAAUGGGGGGAACCCUGAUCCAGCCAUGCCGCGUGUGUGAAGAAGGCCUUAUGGUUGUAAAGCACUUUAAGCGAGGAGGAGGCUACUUUAGUUAAUACCUAGAGAUAGUGGACGUUACUCGCAGAAUAAGCACCGGCUAACUCUGUGCCAGCAGCCGCGGUAAUACAGAGGGUGCGAGCGUUAAUCGGAUUUACUGGGCGUAAAGCGUGCGUAGGCGGCUUAUUAAGUCGGAUGUGAAAUCCCCGAGCUUAACUUGGGAAUUGCAUUCGAUACUGGUGAGCUAGAGUAUGGGAGAGGAUGGUAGAAUUCCAGGUGUAGCGGUGAAAUGCGUAGAGAUCUGGAGGAAUACCGAUGGCGAAGGCAGCCAUCUGGCCUAAUACUGACGCUGAGGUACGAAAGCAUGGGGAGCAAACAGGAUUAGAUACCCUGGUAGUCCAUGCCGUAAACGAUGUCUACUAGCCGUUGGGGCCUUUGAGGCUUUAGUGGCGCAGCUAACGCGAUAAGUAGACCGCCUGGGGAGUACGGUCGCAAGACUAAAACUCAAAUGAAUUGACGGGGGCCCGCACAAGCGGUGGAGCAUGUGGUUUAAUUCGAUGCAACGCGAAGAACCUUACCUGGCCUUGACAUACUAGAAACUUUCCAGAGAUGGAUUGGUGCCUUCGGGAAUCUAGAUACAUGGUGCUGCAUGGCUGUCGUCAGCUCG
rnacentral:rRNA from 1 species